UUUUCUUAGAAAUCCACUUAAUCAUUGUACUUGGAAAGUGUUCUGGCAUGACCUUUAACAGGCUUCUUGCAACUUCUUGGGUCCUUUAACACCCUAAUGUGCAUCUGGAAUCUCCAAGAAGAAACAGAUGCUAAUAUGCAACAUUGUCCAAACUAUUUUUUUUUCUCAGCCACCUACUAAUGUUCCCCUAAAGAGCUGGAGCCAUAAGUCAACCUCCACACCUCUCCGAAACAUUCCUGAAGCUAGAUGAAGCAGGGUAAGUGAAGCUGGCCAUGUAGGUGGAGGUAGAGAGAUAGCCUGACAGGAACACUCCUGGGCCACUCACUUAGAAACUCCCUGGGCUCUCAAGCUUCCCACAGAAUUAUGGUAGUGUUAACAUAAAAUGCUGGUCACGAUUACCUUCUUUUCAAGGGAAAGUGCAACAGUAAGAGCUGAGGCAUGAAGUAUACCUUACAGUUUAGAAAUAUGUGAGCAUCCAUUACCGCAACUGACCUGCAAAACUACCUUUAGUAUCACUACUGAAAUGCGAGGAAGCAGAAUUUCCAGGUCACAGAACAGACAGCACUAGUCAUUCAGAGGCUGUUCUUUGGGGGUAGUUAGAAGCAGUCACAAAACACCAGUGUAGGCCUGGCUUGGGGACACUCACCAAACACUGUCCUGGCAGGGACUGAUUCUCUGUUCAGCCAAAAGGACACUUGUGACAAGAUCACGGUCAUUAUGCAGGGAAGGUAGGUCUGGA